UUUUUGGGUUAUGUUCUGGUAUUUAGCCGCAGAACUUGCGCUGAAAAAUUACAGUUGCGCGAUUUUAAAUUACGCGGUACUUUUUUGGCGGGAAACUUUCUGCGUUCAAACACCGAUGGAAGUUGAGUGGUUUGUUUACGUGCUUCGUGUUUACCAGGUGUUUACAAAGUUUUCAGGUUAUGUUGACAACUGAAACUCGUGGAAUCUGCAAAGUGCAAAGUUGGAAGCUCCGUGUAAAUUCCUUUUGAAGCAAGUUCGUGCAAGUUUGCGAUUGUGUCGUGUCCCAUUUAUUUAUACAGGGUCCUCGUUUCAAUUUGCGAAUGUUCUCAGUUGUCUGGAAGAGUUGAAAUUACCACAAGCUUCGCUCAGUAUCCAGUCAGAAAUUCAGGAUGUCCGGUAAAGAGGACACUCCAGCACCUGAAAACAAGCACGUGCAUAGGUUGCCCUCCUUUCGCUCUGCAAGAGAUCUGAACCUAGACAAAUACAAACUUCCGACUGCCAAACCCAACGCCAAAAAAUAUGUUCCAAACCUGAACGUCACAAGAAAAAAGCAAGAUGACGAAAAAGGCGGGACAAGUUCAACAUCUAAAGAAAAUGAUAAGAAACAGAAUGGUCUACCUCAGCGUGGUCGAGGUCGGGGCAGGGGUAGAGGAGCUAGCAAUCUUGUUCAGACCAAGUCAAUUUUUUCGGAAGGAAUGGGUGACAGAAAAGGUGCCAAGUACAUGAAACCAUGUGAUGUAGAAUCUGUUCCUAGAACAUCAACCGUAACAAAAUCUAGUUUUUCUCAGGGUCAUAGCAGAGGUUCCAGAGAUAGAUCUUCAGGCACUUCAAAAUCAAGGAAAGAGCAUGGUGAAAGAUUGCCAGAUGAUGAUUUUAUCGAUGACGUAGAUGAAGGUGGCUAUGAAUAUUCCUUCAUGAAGCCUGUUAGCUUACCAUUACGAUUAUCUGAAAAUUAUGCCUUAGAAGAUAUCUGUGAUGAUGAAGAAAUAGCUCCAGGUGUUAAAAUUAAAGCUGAACCCGGUACUCCAAAAGUUAAAGUUAAAUCUGAAAAUAAACCAAGGAAAGAAUUUACCAAUGUUAAAGAACUUUUAUCCGAUUCAAAACCUCAAUUGUUAUUUUUGCAGGUCUGUACUCCAGCCUAUUACUUUUUAGUAUGCUUAAUUUUGUUUCAUCUCCCCAUAUUUUAUACCCUCA
rnacentral:lncRNA from 1 species